GACGAACGCUGGCGGCGUGCUUAACACAUGCAAGUCGAACGGUGAACCCCUUUCGGGGGGGGAUCAGUGGCGAACGGGUGAGUAACACGUGGGCAACCUGCCCCCGGCUCUGGGAUAACUCCAAGAAAUUGGGGCUAAUACCGGAUGUGACCGCUGACCGCAUGGUCUGGUGGUGGAAAGGGUUUCCGGCUGGGGAUGGGCCCGCGGCCUAUCAGCUUGUUGGUGGGGUAGUGGCCUACCAAGGCGACGACGGGUAGCCGGCCUGAGAGGGUGACCGGCCACACUGGGACUGAGACACGGCCCAGACUCCUACGGGAGGCAGCAGUGGGGAAUAUUGCGCAAUGGGCGAAAGCCUGACGCAGCGACGCCGCGUGGGGGAUGACGGCCUUCGGGUUGUAAACCUCUUUCAGCUCCGACGAAGCGGAAGUGACGGUAGGAGCAGAAGAAGCACCGGCCAACUACGUGCCAGCAGCCGCCGUAACAC
rnacentral:rRNA from 1 species